rnacentral:sRNA from 1 species
AUAUAUAUAUAUAUUCUAAUAAUCUUAGAAAAAAGUUUCCAAACUCCCUCCCUAUAGAUGAAAAAUUCUGAGAUGCAAGAAUGGUGAAGAAUUUAUUCCCAACAACACAGAACAAAUGGAAACACCAAAAUAUAAGGAAAGUCAAUCUAUACCUAAGCGCUUAGUUAAAUUGCUAUUAAAAACACAGGAGCCUUUGUUGAGGGCUGAUGCAAAGUCUGUGCUAUCAGGACACCAGAAUACUUUGUUGGAUGGAUCUAACCGAGCAACCACCUGUGUGACCUUCGCUUCAUCCAUUUGACUAUUCAAGCAUCUGUCUCUAUUAAAUAUAUCCAACAUGAGCUCCGAAUUGGUUAGUGAAUACAGUAAGGCAGAAGUGGCAGAUUUAAAGUCUGACUCAGAGUGAGCACUGUGUUCCUGUGAUGGACAUGCAGCUCAAUCAAAGCUUGAGUAUAUACCCCGGUAGUGAAGUGUUAAGAUUUCUCUUCUUCUGACAGGAGAUUCCUAAGAGAAUUUAUUUCUACGGCUUUGGGCCUCUUCUUUCAAUAAUGGAGAAAAAUGAAAAAAAAUCCCCACAAUUAUUAGUUUUAGGUAAAAGCAUUGGUGUGAAACACACCUCACAUCUGUCCUUCCUCUCCAGUGAUGUCAGUUGUCAGUCAGGUAAGAUGGUACCACAGUUAUAAGCAAUCCUAGCACUACAGUGGCUUAAAACAGCCAAGACUUAGUUUUUGUUCCAGGGUGAUGGAGUAGGCAUCUAUUGCAGCACUGGUCGUGACUGUUGCAGGAUGAGGAAAAUAAGAGCCCAAGGAGUCCAAUGUUGACAAUCAGAUACUCAGUUACACAUCGUAGUCUCGACCUAGCCGAACUAAGCAGCCCCAUUCAUAAGGAGACCAGGCAGUAGAAUUCUGUCCCUUGUCUGCAUGUAAGGAUUCAGAGAAGUUCAACAGUAAAGCUCAAAUAAAUGGAAGCUGGCAGCACCCAGUGCUUUUUUGCUCAAUGGCUCAUUUCUAGUAUUUUCAUCUAAAUAUAUUCAAGUACUAUAAUUUAUACUUUUCUUGUUCCUUCUUUGUAUCAUCCCACUAUUUUUAGUAGAUUUUACCUACAAGCCUACUUUCUUUCUUGCUACCCCAGUGUCUAUUCUUACUUCUGUUCUCCAAUCUAUUUAUUAGAUUUCCCUGCACUCCUGCAGACCUUUCUGUCUGCAUCACACAACUUAACCUUUAAUUAUUUGCCUACUGGGCAUUCCACUAGCUUCUGCUUUUUAUCAGUUGACUCAGAACAAAAGUUUCUCUUGCCAGUUCCCUCUUCCAUUCCAAAUUGACUCUCCCACCUCAUCCCUGAUGAUGUGACAGUUGUCCCAUUAUACUUCCCAGUGCUCAGCAAGGGCCUUUUUGUAUCUCUUUGAUUGACUCUCUAAUCUCUUGCUUCUCACAGUGGUGCAGACUCCACACUCGUCCCCAUGAAUCCCAUAUGAUGUGUGGAUCUGAUGGCACAGAAGCGAAGGCAUGCAGGAGAGUCAAUACAAGGCCAUGCCACCACUCUACUCCUUUCACUGUUUUUAUCUUUCAACUAUUUAUCAACAUUCAUUUACUAUGUGCGUAGGCAGGAGCUAACUUCUUUCUUGGACUUUCACUUGUUACCAAGGAAGUAACAAAUUAGAUGUCUCUACCCUCCUGGACCUUAUCAUCCUCCAGGUAAGGGGUCCUGUAUCCACAGUGAGAGAAAUAAAUGUUGGUGUGACUGAAU